UACGAAGGGGGCUAGCGUUGCUCGGAAUUACUGGGCGUAAAGCGCACGUAGGCGGCUUUCUAAGUCAGGGGUGAAAUCCUGGAGCUCAACUCCAGAACUGCCUUUGAUACUGGCAACCUAGAGACUGGAAGAGGUUAGUGGAAUUCCCAGUGUAGAGGUGAAAUUCGUAGAUAUUGGGAAGAACACCAGUGGCGAAGGCGGCUAACUGGUCCAGCACUGACGCUGAGGUGCGAAAGCGUGGGGAGCAAACAGGAUUGAGACAU
rnacentral:rRNA from 1 species